UUUUUUAGUUCUUUGAUAUGUCCACCGAGGAAGUGGGAGCAUCUUUGAUCUGUCUAUACCGUAAGUGGACAGUGUGUCCCACCCUGUGCCUUUACUAUCAUACUAUGUGAUGGUCACCUCCUGGUGUUACCUCGACACAUUGGUUAAACUACCAUUCUUGUGAUUUUCCAAUUCUAUGUUGAAGGAAUGAACCUGUAGCCUUUAAUGACUUCAAUGUAUGAUCAUGAUGAUAAUUAUAUGAUAUCUACUUUGGUAGCUCUUAAGCGACACAUACUUUUUCUUGCUCCAAGUUCCUAAUCUGGGAAUUUUAUAGCCUUUUGGUUCUGAUCUGGGAAUUUUAUUUGGUGACGCUAUCUCUUACAUUUCAUAUGUUUAAUUGUAUUUUCUGAUUCGGAUAUAUUAUGUUGUUAUUUUUAAGCAAGUAAAUUCAUCAGCUGGAGAAGCCUAACUAUGCUAAAGUGCAACACCUGUAAUUCUCAACUUUACUGGAUAAAUAUUUUAUACAUGAAACAUAUGGAUAGUUUACAAAUGAUGAUUUGGAACAUUGCCCCCGACAAUACGUGCAGUAUUCAAUCAACACCAAUUACAAGAUGCUGCUACUCCUGGUUGUGCUAGAUCUUUGCACUAUUUGCUUGCUGUUGUACCAUGGUAACUAUAUGUUAUUAGUAUUGUUGAUGUGGGCCAUGAUCUUGAAUGGUCUAGUAGUAGAACAACAUUAGGUUAAUUUGUAGCAGUGGGGUCUCUUCUUUCUAUGCCACAAUACGAUUAUAAUUGGAAUGGUAGCCACUUAACAUGUUAGAAUGUACUAAUUGUUUCCAAAUUCGUAUAGUCUGUGUUCAUUGAUUAAAACUACUUCUCGAAUGUUAGUUUCCAAUUUCGCAUGCCAUUUCACAUGAUUUGUUCAACUAUUCCUAUUAUGUUAAUUGUUAUCCUGGGAUCUAUGCCUUGCACCGCACUAACAAUUCCUCCUCUCUUUGAAUGAAUUGCAGGACAAGGCUCUCUAUGUUUCCAAGGACGAGAAGCUUGAGUACACCAACAAGAUCGAUGCCUACAACAACCCAUAGGUAUAACAUUCACACCAAACACCACCAUAAAAAAGUAGCCCUGCGAUAUUAACGCAACACAGUGGUACUGAUCCGUGCUCUUUCGUGCCCAUCCUUCUUUCAGGCAGGAGAGGCAUGUGGCGACUUAACCAGUAUAAGUCCGAGGUGAACGACAAGUACGACGGCAGCAAGGUAAGACCAUCCUGAUCCACUCGCUCGCUUUCUCCGUGUCAUUCCCCUCUUACUACUCAACAUGUUGAUCUGUUUUCUGAACAUAUGAAAAUUUGUUGUGUGUAGGGUGACUAGUGAUGCGGCAAGCCAAGCAGCAGCAGGGGGAGGAGGGGGUUCUCUGGAACGCCGCUGUGGUCUCUUAUUGCUAGUGUCCUCGAUUGAUGAUGGAUGGUCGUUUAUUUUAGCUCCUUGGUAGUCUUGCCCUCUCUUUCAGGUGGCUGGUCGCUGCUUGUUGCUGGUAGAAAUGGAAGCUCUAGUUCCAGGUCGUCAUAGUCCCAUGUAGUUCAUGCUUUGGACGAAAAUUUAGUGUUGUUUUG
rnacentral:lncRNA from 1 species